rnacentral:tRNA from 5 species
UGCGGGGUGGAGCAGUUUGGUAGCUCGUCGGGCUCAUAACCCGAAGGUCAUCGGUUCAAAUCCGGUCCCCGCUACCA